rnacentral:piRNA from 1 species
UAGAAACGGAGAAAUGAAGGGU